rnacentral:rRNA from 1 species
AUUGAACGCUGGCGGCAGGCCUAACACAUGCAAGUCGAGCGGAUGAGGAAAGCUUGCUUUUCGAUUCAGCGGCGGACGGGUGAGUAAUGCCUAGGAAUCUGCCUGUUAGUGGGGGAUAACUCGGGGAAACUCGGGCUAAUACCGCAUACGUCCUACGGGAGAAAGUGGGGGAUCUUCGGACCUCACGCUAACAGAUGAGCCUAGGUCGGAUUAGCUAGUAGGUGAGGUAAUGGCUCACCUAGGCGACGAUCCGUAACUGGUCUGAGAGGAUGAUCAGUCACACUGGAACUGAGACACGGUCCAGACUCCUACGGGAGGCAGCAGUGGGGAAUAUUGGACAAUGGGCGAAAGCCUGAUCCAGCCAUGCCACGUGUGUGAAGAAGGUCUUCGGAUUGUAAAGCACUUUAAGUUGGGAGGAAGGGUAUUCACCUAAUACGUGGGUACUUUGACGUUACCAACAGAAUAAGCACCGGCUAACUCUGUGCCAGCAGCCGCAGUAAAAC